rnacentral:rRNA from 1 species
UACGAAGGGGGCUAGCGUUGUUCGGAUUAACUGGGCGUAAAGGGUGCGUAGGCGGGUUUUUAAGUCGGGGGUGAAAUCCUGGAGCUCAACUCCAGAACUGCCUUCGAUACUGGAGAGCUCGAGUCCGGGAGAGGUGAGUGGAACUGCGAGUGUAGAGGUGAAAUUCGUAGAUAUUCGCAAGAACACCAGUGGCGAAGGCGGCUCACUGGCCCGGUACUGACGCUGAGGUGCGAAAGCGUGGGGAGCAAACAGG